rnacentral:misc_RNA from 1 species
UAGAGGAGAACUCACAAGAACGGUGUGUGAUUUCAUGAAUUUUGCUGAGAUAUCAGCAGGUUAAGAAAUUGCAUUAGAUCUGUCAGCUUUUGUUACUGUGCCUCGAGUUGUUAUCUAAAGCAUCCAACUGUGCUUGAUGGAUACCUAAAAAUGGCAUAGCUGGACCAAUUUGAAUAUCCCUUUUCCUAGACAAAUACUUGACUACGUUAGUACCUUUAUGCCUGCCUUGUUCAGAAUUGCCAAUUAAAGAAAGAAAAAGAAAAG